rnacentral:rRNA from 1 species
AUACGUAGGUGGCGAGCGUUGUCCGGAAUUACUGGGUGUAAAGGGCGCGUAGGCGGGGGAGUAAGUCAGAUGUGAAAGCCCAUGGCUCAACUGUGGGACUGCAUCUGAAACUACUUUUCUUGAGUGCUGGAGAGGAAAGCGGAAUUCCUAGUGUAGCGGUGAAAUGCGUAGAUAUUAGGAGGAACACCAGUGGCGAAGGCGGCUUUCUGGACAGUAACUGACGCUGAGGCGCGAAAGCGUGGGUAGCAAACAGGAUUAGAUACCCUGGUAGUCCACGCCGUAAACGAUGGAUACUAGGUGUAGGAGGUAUCGACCCCUUCUGUGCCGGAGUUAACACAAUAAGUAUCCCACCUGGGGAGUACGGCCGCAAGGUUGAA